rnacentral:tRNA from 1 species
GCCUGGGUGGCUCAGUCAGUUGGGCAUCCAACUUCAGCUCAGGUCAUGAUCUCACAGUUCGUGGGUUCGAGCCCCACUUCGGGCU